rnacentral:rRNA from 1 species
AUUGAACGCUGGCGGCAUGCCUAACACAUGCAAGUCGAGCGAGCGGCGGACGGGUGUGUAAUGUAUGUGGACUGCCCGAUCUAGGGGGAUAACUACUGGAAACGGUAGCUAAUAUCGCAUCCUAUCAUGUACCCUAUAUGUUAUGGGCUUGUAGGUGAGGUAAUGGCUCACCUAGUCGACGAUCCCUAGCUGGUCUGAGAGGAUGAUCAGCCACACGGCGAAUGGGACAAGGCCCAGACUCCGACGGAGGCACCAGUGGGGAUUAUUCCACAAUGGGCGCAAGCCUGUUGCAGCCAUGGGGCGUGUAUGAGGAAGGCCCUAGGGUUGUAAAGGACGUUCCGUCGGGAGGCGUUACCGACCGAAGAAGCACCGGCUAACUCCGUGCCAGCAGCCGCGGUAAUAC